AGGACAAACGCUGGCGGCGUGCAUAACACAUGCAAGUCGAACGAGCCUAGCGAUAGGCGAGUGGCGGACGGGUGAGGAACACGUGGAUGACCGACCUUUUACUGGGGAAUACCCGUGGGAAACCACGGCUAAAUACCGCAUACGUUCGAGAGAAGAAAGCCUUCGGGCGGUAAGAGACGGGUCUGCGGUCGAUUAGCUAGUUGGUGCGGUAACGGCGUACCAAGGCGACGAUCGAUAGCUGGUCUGAGAGGAUGAUCAGCCACAUUGGGAUUGAGAACGGCCCAAAUCCCUACGGGGAGCAGCAGUGAGGAAUAUUCGGCAAUGGGCGCAAGCCUGACCGAGCGACGCCGCGUGGGGGAUGACGCAUUUCGGUGUGUAAACCCCUUUUCUGUGGGACGAGAAUGGACGGUACCGACAGGAAUAAGUCUCGGCUAACUACGCGCCAGCAGCCGC
rnacentral:rRNA from 1 species